UCCAGACUCCUACGGGAGGCAGCAGUGAGGAAUAUUGGUCAAUGGGCGGGAGCCUGAACCAGCCAAGUCGCGUGAGGGAUGACGGCCCUACGGGUUGUAAACCUCUUUUGCCGGGGAGCAAAGAGCGGGACGCGUCCCGCCUCGAGAGUACCCGGAGAAAAAGCAUCGGCUAACUCCGUGCCAGCAGCCGCGGUAAUACGGAGGAUCCAAGCGUUAUCCGGAUUUAUUGGGUUUAAAGGGUGCGUAGGCGGAUUGAUAAGUUAGAGGUGAAAUGUCCGAGCUCAACUCGGGAACUGCCUCUAAUACUGUUGAUCUAGAGAGUAGAUGCGGUAGGCGGAAUGUAUGGUGUAGCGGUGAAAUGCUUAGAGAUCAUACAGAACACCGAUUGCGAAGGCAGCUUACCAAUCUAUAUCUGACGUUGAGGCACGAAAGCGUGGGGAGCAAACAGGAUUAGAUACCCUGGUA
rnacentral:rRNA from 1 species